AAUUUGGGGGCGGAGUAGGGCCGAACUGGGUUGAGUAAUACAUCGGAACGUGCCCUGUAGUGGGGGAUAACUAGUCGAAAGAUUAGCUAAUACCGCAUACGACCUGAGGGUGAAAGUGGGGGACCGCAAGGCCUCAUGCUAUAGGAGCGGCCGAUGUCUGAUUAGCUAGUUGGUGGGGUAAAGGCCCACCAAGGCGACGAUCAGUAGCUGGUCUGAGAGGACGAUCAGCCACACUGGGACUGAGAGACGGGCCCA
rnacentral:rRNA from 1 species